GAUGAACGCUAGCGGGAGGCCUAACACAUGCAAGCCGAGCGGUAGAGUUUCUUCGGAAACUUGAGAGCGGCGCACGGGUGCGUAACACGUGUGCAACCUACCUUUAUCUGGGGGAUAGCCUUUCGAAAGGAAGAUUAAUACCCCAUAAUAUAAUGAUUGGCAUCAAUUAUUAUUGAAAACUCCGGUGGAUAGAGAUGGGCACGCGCAAGAUUAGAUAGUUGGUGAGGUAACGGCUCACCAAGUCAAUGAUCUUUAGGGGUCCUGAGAGGGAGAUCCCCCACACUGGUACUGAGACACGGACCAGACUCCUACGGGAGGCAGCAGUGAGGAAGAUUGGACAAUGGGUGAGAGCCUGAUCCAGCCAUCCCGCGUGAAGGAUGACGGUCCUAUGGAUUGUAAACUUCUUUUGUACAGGGAUAAACCUACCCUCGUGAGGGUAGCUGAAGGUACUGUACGAAUAAGCACCGGCUAACUCCGUG
rnacentral:rRNA from 1 species